CAGCCGCCGCGGUAAUUCCGGCGGCCCGAGUGGCGGUCACUAUUAUUGGGCUUAAAGCGUCCGUAGCCGGGUUGGGAAGUCCUCCGGGAAAUCUGGCCGCUUAACGGUCAGAAUGCCGGAGGAUACUCCCAGCCUAGGGAGCGGGAGAGGCCGAGGGGAUUCCCGGGGUAGGGGUGAAAUCCUAUAAUCCCGGGAGGACCGCCUGUGGCGAAGGCGCUCGGCUGGAACGCGUCCGACGGUGAGGGACGAAGGCCAGGGGAGCAAACCGGAUUAGAUACCCGGGUAGUCCUGGCUGUAAACGAUGCGGACUUUGUGUCGGACAAGCUAUGAGCUUGUCCGGUGCCGGAGGGAAACCGUUAAGUCCGCCGCCUGGGGAGUACGGCCGCAAGGCUGAAACUUAAAGGAAUUGGCGGG
rnacentral:rRNA from 1 species